UUGAAUUUAUCUUUUUUGCCUGUCUGUAGUUUUGUCAUUUGCCUUCGCUUAUUUGCAUUAUUACUAACGAGUUAUUCCGGAGUAAUAAUUUGAGCUGAAAUGUUUUAGCCUUGAGAGGACUUGACUUUGCAUUCAGAGCUUUAUUUCCCUGUUCCAUCUAGCAUCGCAGAAUAUUUCACAACGAAUUUAAUGCAAACUCGAAUAAGACCAAGGUAGCAUUCGCAGCAUUAGGUUUUGUUGUAAAUUGAAUUUUGCGAUGCUCCAUACUGCUCUCAAAAUCACAGGAACAGCAUCAGAGUGGCGUUUCUUUGUUCCCCGGAUAAAAGUGCUUGUAAUUACUUUUUUUGUAAGUGUCCUCGAGAUGAGCAGCGUAUUCUGUUUCGCUAAAUUAGAAACCAAACUACUUUCUAAUAAACCUGGCUGUUUCAAAAAUGACCUAGAGAAGGGGGAGUCUCAUGGUUAACUAAAAGUAGGACGAUGAUUCUCCCAAAGCACACUGCCUUUACUCUAAUGAGAGACGAGCUGCACACAAAAAAAAAAAAAAAAAAAGGACGAGCUUGUGAAGCUGUCAAAGUGCUGCUUGUUUAGGAUUUAUUGUCUGUUUUUAAAGCUGUUUAGGACACUUGUCUAAAGCGAGCGCAGGUCCAUUUUGUCUCUGCUCUUUUCCAACCUUUGCUCUGCUCUGCUCUGCUGCCGAAAAAUGCUCCCUCCUCACAGAGAAGCUGGGUUUUUCAGAGAGAGGAUAUGUGGACAUACUGCGUGCAGCUCCAGAGGGAUCCGGCACAAUGAGCGGCGAGGAUUUCGGCGCUUUACCCCCGGAUAGCUGACGACUGCGGUGUGUGUGCCAGUUGCCUACAAAGUCUCUGGGCUCAUUAUUCUGGAAUGGCUUGAUUUCCUGGUCAGACUUCAGUGUCGAGGCCGAGGAAACCCGAGAGGAGGCGAGCCGCCGCAGAGAGGAGUCGACCUGUCAAGCUUAAGUGACAUCCAGGAAGUAUUCUGACAGCUUUCUUUGGUUUUGCAACAAUUAAGGCACGAAGACAUAAUCUCAGUUUAUGACACACGGUUAGAUGCACAGUUCACUCUGCUCUACUUUCACAUCUAAUGGGAUUUCCUGCAAAUAUAGAAAGCAAUAAAACGUAAUUAUCAAAAGUAAUAAAACAAACACUGAACCCUACUUACAUUAGGUUAAGUAAUUUAAAGAUAAUAUUGUACAUAGAUUAUUCAAUAAAAAACAAAUAAAAACAUGUCAUGCUGUGCAUUCGCACAGGGUAAGGGAAGUCUGUAUUUUACUCAAAUGUAUUGACAUUAUGCCCUGGGUUACAUCUGCUUAUAUUAAACAUAUUAUACUAUAUAAUAUUUAUAUUUAAUAUUAUACAUAUUCUUAUAUUAUAUAGGCCUAUUUAUGUUUAUAUAAUACUCACAUAGACCUCUUGCUCCGGUGCCCACACAACCAAUAUGCUGUCAAAACUUUCAUUUCUUAUUUCUAAACACAGCCUCCAUAAUUCUUGACCAGGAAAAAAAACAAAAAACGACCUAAAAUUACCACGAUACCGAUUUGCACGGGAAUAAUAAUAUCACGAAAUAUGGUAGGAAAUUUGUGGUAGAAUUUUUACUUGACAAAUAAUGCAGAUUCAAACAAAAUUAACAUUACAGACAACCUACGCAAUUAUUACAAAUUACCAGAAGUCCCCAGGUAAUACUGGUCCUAAAGCUUUAGAUUAAAAAAAUAAAUUAAAAGAAUUUAAAUAAAUGAAGAAUAAAUAGAAAAUAAAAAAGAAAUAAAAUUGAUCAGUUUUUAAUUUCUUCAGUUACUUUGAAAGUUAUUAAAACUCUCCUGUGUGUUUCAAAUUAAUAACAUAUAUACUUACAAAAUGUAUAAUACAGUAAUAAUACAUGAGGUUUAUUCUUGACAAGAUAAUCUCAACUCAAAGGCCCACUAGGUAUCUUUUUCUGAGCUUUCAACUGCAACUCAGUCUUCAUCAGUGGAAAUGUAUUUCAUAUUUCAGCCCACAAAAAAAAAGAUUAGGUAUCUUUUUAUGACUUAUAACUUAUGUUAGAGGGGCCUUUUGUGGUUUAGAGUUUGUGUUCCCAGCAGGUCGACCAUCAGCCGAGUGACAUGAGAGACUUCCUGCAGGAGAUGAACUGUCCUUUGGGGUGAGGUAGUAGGUUGUAUAGUUUUAGGGUCAUUCCCAAGCUGUCAGAUGACUAUACAACUUACUGUCUUUCCUGAAGCGACUGUGAUGCCGCCUUCAUCAUCAUCUUCAUCAUCAUCGUCGGCAAUGUCACGAAGGAAAAUACAACUUCACCACUGCUAAUCCUUUUUAUAUAUAUACAGCAUGUAUGUAUAUAUGUAAUGUUAGAGAUGAAAGUUUUCAUACAAUUAAGAGGUAGAUAAAAUAGGUGCUGCAGCAUGGUAUGUUGAAGAAUUUCCUCAUUUCUUGUACUGUACAUUCAACGUGUAGGCUUUCCGUUCUGAUUACCUGCCCGUCAUUAGAGUGUAUUUGUGAAAUAUAGACAAUUUGAGGAAUUUAAAACUUUUUUUGGUUAUUAAAAUGUAAGUUUAGGAGUCUGUUACUUCAAAUGUGCUGAUUAUAAUUGCAAAUGCUUUAACAAAAAUGGCUCCAUUAGCUGAUAUUUGAAUAAUGUAUUAUCACUAAUCUCGCCGUAUUCACGUAACAGCAACACAGUAGUUGUGGAAUUAAUUUACACAGUGACCAGAUGAACCUUCAAAUCCAGAUGUUUCUUCCCACCCAGCGACCUGGGUGAGUCAUGGUGUUCGUACAGGGUGAGGUAGUAGGUUGUGUGGUUUCAGGGUUGUGAUUUUACCCCAUCAGGAGCUAACUGUACAACCUACUGCCUUCCCUGGAGGGCAGCAGUACAUCACAGCAGCACACGUGGCAUCUUUCUACUUUAGGGAUAAACUGACAAUCUCGUUCACUAUAAGCACGACAAAUGGGUGAGUGGUGCCAAAUCACAAUAUGACUUUACAGUAAUGCGUGUAGAUAGUAUGGAAAAGUGCAAGCGUUUUUUAGAAAGUACAUUUUCAGCAUCAUGAGUGCUUUAACUUUGUACUGUUUCCUUAAUAAAUAAAUAAAGACUGGGUAAUAAAUAAUAGAAGAACAAA